rnacentral:rRNA from 1 species
AGAGCUUGAUCCUGGCUCAGAUUGAACGCUGGCGGCAUGCCUUACACAUGCAAGUCGAACGGCAGCACGAGAGCUUGCUCUUGGUGGCGAGUGGCGAACGGGUGAGUAAUAUAUCGGAACGUACCCUAGAGUGGGGGAUAACGUAGCGAAAGUUACGCUAAUACCGCAUACGAUCUACGGAUGAAAGUGGGGGAUCGCAAGACCUCAUGCUCAUGGAGCGGCCGAUAUCUGAUUAGCUAGUUGGUGGGGUAAAAGCUCACCAAGGCGACGAUCAGUAGCUGGUCUGAGAGGACGACCAGCCACACUGGAACUGAGACACGGUCCAGACUCCUACGGGAGGCAGCAGUGGGGAAUUUUGGACAAUGGGCGCAAGCCUGAUCCAGCAAUGCCGCGUGAGUGAAGAAGGCCUUCGGGUUGUAAAGCUCUUUUGUCAGGGAAGAAACGGUGGACUCUAAUACAGAUCACUAAUGACGGUACCUGAAGAAUAAGCACCGGCUAACUACGUGCCAGCAGCCGCGGUAAUACGUAGGGUGCAAGCGUUAAUCGGAAUUACUGGGCGUAAAGCGUGCGCAGGCGGUUGUGCAAGACAGAUGUGAAAUCCCCGGGCUCAACCUGGGAAUUGCAUUUGUGACUGCACGGCUAGAGUGUGUCAGAGGGGGGUAGAAUUCCACGUGUAGCAGUGAAAUGCGUAGAGAUGUGGAGGAAUACCGAUGGCGAAGGCAGCCCCCUGGGAUAACACUGACGCUCAUGCACGAAAGCGUGGGGAGCAAACAGGAUUAGAUACCCUGGUAGUCCACGCCCUAAACGAUGUCUACUAGUUGUCGGGUCUUAAUUGACUUGGUAACGCAGCUAACGCGUGAAGUAGACCGCCUGGGGAGUACGGUCGCAUGAUUAAAACUCAAAGGAAUUGACGGGGACCCGCACAAGCGGUGGAUGAUGUGGAUUAAUUCGAUGCAACGCGAAAAACCUUACCUACCCUUGACAUGUCUGGAAUCCUUGAGAGAUCAGGGAGUGCUCGAAAGAGAAUCAGAACACAGGUGCUGCAUGGCUGUCGUCAGCUCGUGUCGUGAGAUGUUGGGUUAAGUCCCGCAACGAGCGCAACCCUUGUCAUUAGUUGCUACGAAAGGGCACUCUAAUGAGACUGCCGGUGACAAACCGGAGGAAGGUGGGGAUGACGUCAAGUCCUCAUGGCCCUUAUGGGUAGGGCUUCACACGUCAUACAAUGGUACAUACAGAGGGCCGCCAACCCGCGAGGGGGAGCUAAUCCCAGAAAGUGUAUCGUAGUCCGGAUUGUAGUCUGCAACUCGACUACAUGAAGUUGGAAUCGCUAGUAAUCGCGGAUCAGCAUGUCGCGGUGAAUACGUUCCCGGGUCUUGUACACACCGCCCGUCACACCAUGGGAGCGGGUUUCACCAGAAGUGGGUAGCCUAACCGCAAGGAGGGCGCUCACCACGGUGGGAUUCGUGACUGGGGUGAAGUCGUAACAAGGUA